UCCCUGGUGGCUCAGAGGGUAAAGCAUCUGCCUGCAAUGUGGGAGACCCGGGUUCGAUCCCUGGGUCAGGGAA
rnacentral:tRNA from 1 species